GUGUUUGCUCCUGCAGCACAUAUACUAAAAAAACUAGAACAAUAUAAGAGGUUAACAUGGCCCCUGCCCAAGAAUGAUACACAAAUUUGUGAAGCAUUCCAUGUUUUU
ensembl:snRNA U6 U6 spliceosomal RNA